rnacentral:rRNA from 1 species
AUUGAACGCUGGCGGCAUGCCUUACACAUGCAAGUCGAACGGUAACAGGUCUUCGGAUGCUGACGAGUGGCGAGCGGGUGAGUAAUACAUCGGAACGUGCCCGAUCGUGGGAGAUAACGAAGCGAAAGCUUUGCUAAUACCGCAUAAGAUCUACGGAUGAAAGCAGGGGACCGCAAGGCCUUGCGCGAACGGAGCGGCCGAUGGCAGAUUAGGUAGUUGGUGGGAUAAAAGCUUACCAAGCCGACGAUCUGUAGCUGGUCUGAGAGGACGACCAGCCACACUGGGACUGAGACACGGCCCAGACUCCUACGGGAGGCAGCAGUGGGGAAUUUUGGACAAUGGGCGAAAGCCUGAUCCAGCCAUGCCGCGUGCAGGAUGAAGGCCUUCGGGUUGUAAACUGCUUUUGUACGGAACGAAAAGACUCUUUCUAAUAAAGAGGGUCCAUGACGGUACCGUAAGAAUAAGCACCGGCUAACUACGUGCCAGCCGCCGCCGUAAUAC